rnacentral:rRNA from 1 species
UACAGAGGGUGCAAGCGUUGUUCGGAAUUAUUGGGCGUAAAGAGCGUGUAGGCGGCCCGAUAAGUCCGCUGUGAAAGUCGGGGGCUCAACCCUCGGAUGCCGGUGGAUACUGUCGGGCUAGAGUGCGGGAGAGGCGAGUGGAAUUCCUGGUGUAGCGGUGAAAUGCGCAGAUAUCAGGAGGAACACCGAUUGCGAAGGCAGCUCGCUGGAACGUUACUGACGCUGAGACGCGAAAGCGUGGGGAGCAAACAGG